rnacentral:ribozyme from 1 species
UGCCUAGCAACUCCUAUCCCUACCUCCUCUCGGUACUGGUCGGAGUACAAGUAACCUUAGGGAAGA